GAAAAUUAGAAGCCAUGCACAUGGCCGAUGGGAAUGUAACAUGAAGCUGUGCUGUGGAAAACAGUCUGGAGUUUCCUUAAAAUGGUGAUGAGAAUGUUUUGGUACCAGAUAGAGGCAGUUACACAGCGCUGUGGAGGUACCAAACGCCGCUGGAAGAUUGAUGUUAUGUUAUAUAAAUUUCACCUCCAUUAAAAAAGAAACAAACAAAAAACUAACAUCUGUGGAAUGUCCUGGUGAUAGCAGAAAUAGAAUCUGGAGAAACAGUGACUCACUCAGGUUUCCAGACAGACGACCAUGGAUACAAGUAGCCAUAACAAAUCUGACGAAUUCGCCGCCCAAGUGAGCAAAAGAAGGAGUGCCAGCCUCUAUGCUGCCAGAAACCCCGUGUCCACACGUUUCUUGGUAGACAUCCCUAAAUAUCAUCGCAGGGCAAAGCAGCUUUGAAAUCUGAAACCACUACUCAACAAUGAAAGUGCUGGAAACAGUCUGCAUCCUUUUCUCUUCCCAAGGUUGGGCCAAGGGAAAUGCUACGUUCAGAAAAGAUGAGCGUGUCAAAACCCCCGGUGAUUUCUAACGCUUGUGGAACACAUUGCAUAGGAGCAAUUUAGAUGACAAAGAGAGCACCCUUCAGUCCAGAUUUACACUGUGUUCCUAUUCACCGACACAUCAGCAAACAUUAUAAAUGCCUUGCCUGGGUAAUGAAUGGCUUCUGAGCGAGUUCCUGGGCUGGCAGCGGGUUUGAAAUUCUAUAGAGUCAGGCAAGGGGGAAGGUGACUAGGAUAGAAUUACGGGAAAGGAUUAAUGAGGGGGUGCUGGCUGAACAUACUGCUCUACUGUUCUCUCCGUCGCUAGACUGAGGACUCUCUGAUUUUUUGCCUCUAGGACUGUACUUUUAUAACUUGAAACAAGCCUCUUUAAACAAAUCUGCAUCAGGCAAUGUGUCAACACUUCAUUGGUUUCAAUAGAAUUAGUUUUCUAAAUGCUCUUUUCUGAAGCAAUUUUUGUACUUGAAAAUGCAUUACAAGGAACAUUUACUAUAACUACAGUACAGCGAUA